CGCCCGCCGCGCGCGGCGGGCGGGGCGGGGGCACGGGGGGCCUACGGGAGGCAGCAGUGGGGAAUAUUGCACAAUGGGCGCAAGCCUGAUGCAGCCAUGCCGCGUGUAUGAAGAAGGCCUUCGGGUUGUAAAGUACUUUCAGCGGGGAGGAAGGGAGUAAAGUUAAUACCUUUGCUCAUUGACGUUACCCGCAGAAGAAGCACCGGCUAACUCCGUGCCAGCAGCCGCGGUAAU
rnacentral:rRNA from 1 species